GAGGGUAUAGCUCAAGUGGUAGAGCAUAUGCUUAGCAUGCACAAGGUCCCGGGUUCAAUCCCCAGUACCUCCU
rnacentral:tRNA from 1 species